rnacentral:rRNA from 1 species
GACGUAGGGCGCGAGCGUUGUCCGGAAUUAUUGGGCGUAAAGAGCUCGUAGGCGGUCUGUCGCGUCUGCUGUGAAAACUCAGGGCUUAACCCUGAGCUUGCAGUGGGUACGGGCAGACUAGAGUGCGGUAGGGGAGACUGGAAUUCCUGGUGUAGCGGUGAAAUGCGCAGAUAUCGGGAGGAACACCGGUGGCGAAGGCGGUUCUCUGGGCCUUACCUGACGCUGAGGAGCGAAAGCGUGGGGAGCGAACAGG